GCUGUAAUGAUAAAAAGAUCUUUUAUGUCUUUGUGUCAAUCAUUUAGAUCACACUUGUUAUGUGCUCUUCAGUUUUUCCUUUUUAGAUACUUGUUCCUUGUUUCCAAUAACAGAAAUUUAUGGUUUAUUUUUUACUCGUUGGAUAUAUGUAUACCUUAUUCUCUCUCUCUCUCUUUUUGGUUUCCUACUUCUUUCUUUUUUUGUUACAAUAUAGAAGUAGGAAACACACGCAUCCGCACAAGUACUAGCCUUUCCUUGGCACACAACACCCUCUCACCUCCACACAUUAAUGGAAGAAACUUGGAAAAGAUUUGCAUCUAAUUUUUCAAUGUUUGUUGCAGCGGUCAAAGAGAAAGAAAACACAUCAAACAGAAAACCCCAAUAGAAAUCUAUUUAUUUCUGGUCUUGAUCAUGAUACUAACC